GUCUACAGCCAUACCACCCUGAACGCGCCCGAUCUCGUCUGAUCUCGGAAGCUAGCAGGGUAGGGCCUGGUUAGUACUUGGAUGGGAGACCACCUGGGAAUACUGGAUACUGCAGGCU
ensembl:rRNA 5S_rRNA 5S ribosomal RNA